GAAUUAUAGCGCAUCUGCUUGCAGAGCGUGACCUCCACUCUAUACACUGUGCACUCAUUGGCGGAAAGAAGACGAGUUUCUCACGAGACGAGUCUGAUAUUCUGCGGCUCACUUUAAACACCAGUCAAAGUAUGUAUACGAAAUAUCGAAAACUAAAAAAACUUUCAACAACGGAUCUCUUGGCUCU
rnacentral:misc_RNA from 1 species